UAAUGUACUCCAAGAAAGAUUGGGUAAGU
rnacentral:piRNA from 1 species